rnacentral:tRNA from 2 species
GAGAUAUUAGCUCAAUGGUAGAGCAUAUGACUUUUAAUCAGUAGGUUACAGGUUCGAUUCCUGUAUAUCUCU